GUCGAACGAGGUCCAUCCGCUCGCAAGAGUGGUGAAGACCUAGUGGCGAACGGGUGAGUAACACGUGAGAAACCUGCCCCGAAGACCGGCGAUAACUCACCGAAAGGUGAGCUAAUACCGGAUACCCUCACGACGCUUCAUGGCGAUGUGAGGAAAUGGAUUCCGCUUCGGGAGGGUCUCGCGGCCUAUCAGCUUGUUGGUGAGGUAACGGCUCACCAAGGCGACGACGGGUAGCUGUUCUGAGAGGAAGAUCAGCCACACUGGGACUGAGACACGGCCCACACUCCUACGGGAGGCAGCAGUGGGGAAUCUUGCGCAAUGGGCGAAAGCCUGACGCACCGAUGCCGCGUGCGGGAAGACGGCCUUCGGGUUGUAAACCGCUUUCAGCAGGGACGAAAUUGACGGUACCUGCAGAAGAAGCUCCGGCCAACUACGUGCCAGCAGCCGCGGUAAGACGUAGGGGGCGAGCGUUGUCCGGAAUUAUUGGGCGUAAAGGGCUCCUAGGCGGUUCAGUAAGUCGACUGUGAAAAUCCAAGGCUCAACCUUGGGACGCCAGUCUAUACUGCUGUGACUCGAGUUCGGUAGAGGAGUGUGGAAUUCCUGGCGUAGCGGUGAAAUGCGCAUAUAUCAAGAGGAACACCAACGGCGAAUGCAGCACUCUGGGUCGAUACUGACGCUGAAGAGCGAAAGCGUGGGGAGC
rnacentral:rRNA from 1 species